rnacentral:rRNA from 1 species
UGGGGAAUAUUGGACAAUGGAGGGAACUCUGAUGCAGCAACGCCGCGUGCGGGAUGACGGCCUUCGGGUUGUAAACCGCUUUCAGCCAUGACGAAGCUUUUGUGACGGAAGUGGUAGAAGAAGCACCGGCUAACUACGUGCCAGCAGCCGCGGUGAUACGGAGGGUGCGAGCGUUGUCCGGAAGGAUUGGGCGGAAAGAGCUUGUAGGCGGUUUGUCGCGUCGAAAGUGUAAACUCAGUGCUUAACGCUGGGCCUUCUUUCGAUACGGGCUGACUAGAGGAGGGUAGGGGAGAAUUGAAUUCCCGGUGGAGCGGUGGAAUGCGCAGAUAUCGGGAGGAACACCAGUGGCGAAGGCGGUUCUCUGGCCCUUUCCUGACGCUGAGAAGCGAAAGCGUGGGUAGCAAACAGG